UCUGUAUAAAUCCUUGGUACACCCGCAUCUUGAAUAUUCCAUGCAGUUCUGGCCGACCGAGCUCAAAAAAGAUAUAUUAGAAUUGGAAAAAAUACAGAAAUGGGCAACGAAAAUGAUUAGGGAUAUGGAACAGCUUCCAUAGGAGGAGAGAUUCAAAAGCCUGGGACUGUUCCACUUAGAAAAGAGAUGAUUAAGGGGGGGAUAUGAUAGAGGUCUAUAAAAUCAUGAAUGGUGUGGAGAACCUGAAUAGGGAAAUGUUAUUUAGCCCUUCAUAUAACACAAGA